UAAUGGCGGACCAACUUAAACGGAAUGACCCGUUCAGCACCAGCAUAUCAUAAUUUUUGAGUUACUCGGGUGUUCUUUGGAUCCACGUCUCAAAACAAUAUUCAACUAUCAUCUUCAAUGUACCGGAAAUGGACAUAGAACAAUUGCGAACGAUUUGUCUCACUCGGCAAACCUCGGUAGGGUUCUGGAAUCUGUUGAGGUUUGCCGAGUGCGAUUUGUCUUUCUUUCCAUGGGAUUGAACCAAUACAAAAUUAAAAACACAAACCGCGUAUCGUGAAAAAUUGAUGGAGAAUCGUUAGAAAAUGUAUCUGAAGCAGUGUUAUUAGAACUUACUGUUGACCAAAAUUUAGAUCGGAUAUACUGGUUGGAAUCAAAGGCAGCUUGCUUCAACCAAUGGAAUUGUUACUUCGCCUUGGACUUCUAAUGUUGUGAUUUCCUAAUUAAAUCAAACUACAACCGUUUCUCAGGAAAGAAAAUCACAUAUGUAAAUAACAGAUUAGACAAGGGUAAACUGUUGAAAUACUGUUAAACAUGAUGGAUUUGGAUUUGGAAAAGCUGAGGUGUGUGUUUCAAUAAGCCAAUGGUUGAAUUUCAUUGUUGAUGACAUACAAGAAAAAAUUCAUGAAGAUUUCCUAGAAUAAUGUUUUGAGGUGUAGAAUUUUUGGCCACUGCAAACAGAGUCUAGCACCCAGAAAAUAUUCAUUCGCAGUGAGUCGACCAGGAAAUUUAGAGGACUGUUAUACUCAUUCGACGCCACUUUUCGACCAAUCAGAAUCCAAGAAAUUUCCAUUUUGGGCUACAAUAGCGAGCAAAAGCGCAAAAUAAAUCAACUGAUAUAAAAAACAUGGGGAUGAUAGUCAAUACUGACAAUUUUUACACAAGUCCAGCUCUUUUCAAGGAACGACUAGAAGACGGAAUAAAAGCACGGGGCACAUGCUGAAUGAAUAGAAAACACUGGCCAGCAGAGGUCACCAAAAAAUCAGUAAAAAAACAAGGAGACAGUGUAAUUGUCCAAGAUGGUCAGAUGACAGCAGGAGUGUGGAAGGACAAAAGGGUCGUGCCUUUUGUUUCGACAGUCGACGACCCGACACAUAAUGUUGAAGGUAGCAGACGAAAAAAAGAUGGCAGUUUAAGAACAAUAAGUGAGUACAAUAAAUACAUGGGUGGGGUUGAUCGCGCUGAUCAACUCUGUAUGGAAUACCCCAACUAUCGAAUGUGUAGAAGAUGGUGGGUGUACAUCUUUUAUUUCCUAUUAGACGUCAGCAUCUCUAAUGGUUUUAUUUUAUAUAAAGAAUCGAAGAAUCAUAGCAAUGGAAAUUCAAAAGAUUUGUUGACAUUUAGGAUUUAUUUAGCGAAACAACUCCUUGAUAAAGGAACAGCGGCAUCAAGAAAACGAAAACGUUUGAUUAUUCUGAUAAAAAAUUCUUUGGAUUAUUCUCAUGUGUUUUUAUAACUAUAAACUCAGUGCUUUUAUAACUUUUAUGAUUAUCAGGCCAUAUCACAAGCGUUGAACUUUUCAAAUUUGUUAGAACUCAUCAUUCUAUGGAUUAUUCUCAUUCUGCUAAAAUGUGUGUUAUUCUAUGGAUUAUUCUGAUAAAAAAUUAUCUGGAUUAUUCUCAUGUGUUUUUAUAACUAUAAAGUCAGUACUUUUAUAACUUUUAUGAUUAUCAAAACAGCGCUUUUAUGAAUUUUAUUACAGUGCUUUUAACUUUUAAAACUUUUAUAAUUAUCAAAACAGUAGUCCCGAAAUGACCUAGUUUGUGUCGAGUGGACGUUAAACCCCAUUUCUCUCUCUCUCGCUUUUAUAACAAAUCAGUGCUUUUAUAAUUAUCAAAACAGUGCUUUUAUAACUAUCAAAUCAGUGCUUUUAUAACUAUCAAAUCAGUGCUUUUAUAACUAUCAAAUUUAUCAAAUCAAUGCUUUUAUAACUAUCAAAUCAGUGGUUAUGUUAAAGAAUGUUAUUACAAUGAUUUAUUGUUAGGGAAAGUGUAAAUAUUUAUGUAGGUAUGUGUUAUGUGAUAUUGAUAAUGUGUGUAUGAAUCUGAGUAAUUAUUCAAGUCUAAAUGUUAUUUUUUUUGUAAGUACUGUUAUAGAUGUAUUUUUUUUUUAUAUUAUUCUUCUUUUGUGCUAUUCUAACCUGUUGAUUUCUUGGAUACAAUGACUAUUUUUUAGCUCAACAGACAAUUAAAUGUGAUUUUUAUUGCUGUAAAUCACACUUUACAUGAUUAAAUUUCAUAUCAUUCUAUAGUGCUACAUAUC